rnacentral:rRNA from 1 species
CAAAAACAUGUCUUUUUGAGAUUUAUAUAAGGUUUAACCUGCCCAAUGAGGUGUUUAAUGGCCGCGGUAUUUUAACCGUGCUAAGGUAGCAUAAUCAUUUGUCUUUUAAUUGAGGGCUAGUAUGAAAGGUUGGACGAGGUAUAAGCUUUCUUUAAUUUAAUUUAUGAAUUUAAUUUUUGAGUUAAAAAGCUUAAAUUUUUUUAUUGGACGAGAAGACCCUAUAGAUCUUUAUACUGGGAUUUGUUGAGUAAUUUAGGGAAUUUAUUUACUUUAAUAGAUUUUAUUAUUUGGUUGGGGUGACUGUAGAAUUUUUUUAACUUCUAUUUUUAUGUAUCAUUUAUUAGUGUUUGAUUGAUCCAUUUAUUUUGAUUAAAAGAUUAAGUUACCUUAGGGAUAACAGCGUAAUUUUUUCGGAGAGUUCAUAUCGAUGAAGGAGUUUGCGACCUCGAUGUUGGAUUAAAAUAAGUAGUAAAUGUAGCAGUUUACUGUCUAGGUCUGUUCGACCUUUAAAUUUUUACAUGAUCUGAGUUCA